rnacentral:rRNA from 1 species
AUGCAAGUCGAACGCGAACGGUCCUUCGGGAGCUAGUAGAGUGGCAAACGGGUGAGUACGCGUGGGUACGUACCCUGAUCCUGGGAAUAACCCUCGGAAACGAGGGCUAAUACCGAAUGUGGCGAACGACCGGUUGGUCGCUCGCUAAAGGUGGCCUCUUCUAUGCUGCCGGGUUGGGAUCGGCCCGCGUCCCAUUAGCUAGUUGGUGAGGUAACGGCUCACCAAGGCCACGAUGGGUAGCCGGCCUGAGAGGGUGUACGGCCACACUGGCACUGAGACAAGGGCCAGUCCCCUAUGGGAGGCGCAGGCGGGAAUAGUUCACAAUGGGCGAAAGCCUGAUGACGCGACGCCGCGUGAGCGAAGAAGACCUUCGGGUUGUAAAGCUCUGUCAGGAGGGAAGAAGGCUCUACGGGCCAAUAGCCCGUGGGAUUGACGGUACCUCCAGAGGAAGCCCCGGCUAAAUACGUGCCAGCAGCCGCGGUAAUACGUAUGGGGCAAGCGUUGUCCGGAUUUACUGGGCGUAAAGGGCGCGUAGGCGGUUUGUUAAGUCGAAGGUGAAAUCCUCGGGCUCAACUCGAGAAUUGCCUUCGAUACUGGCAAACUAGAGUGGCGGAGAGGAAAGCGGAACUCUUGGUGUAACGGUGGAAUGUGUCGAUCUCAAGAGGAACACCGGUGGCGAAGGCGGGUUUCUGGACGCACACUGACGCUCAGGCGCGAAAGUGUGGGUAGCCAAACAGGAUUAGAUACCCUGGUAGUCCACGCCAUAAACGAUGGGUACUAGGUUGUCGGGGGUAUCGCCCCCUCCGGUGCCGCAGUUAACGCACUAAGUACCCCGCCUGCGGGAUUAUGCUCGGCAAGGUUGAAACUCCACGCGAAUUGGCGGGGGCCCCGCACAAGCGGUGGAGGCUUGUGGUUUAUUCCGACGCAACGGCGGAGAACCUUACCUGGGCUUGACAUUCUGUGGGACAGCGCUGGGAAACAGAGUCUCUCCUUCGGGAGCCCCUUGCACAGGUGCUGCAUGGCUGUCGUCAGCUCGUGUCGUGAGAUGUUGGUUUAAGUCCCGCAACGAGCGCAACCCUCGUUGCUAGUUGCCAUCAGUUCGGCUGGGCACUCUAGUGAGACUGCCGGUGAUAAACCGGAGGAAGGUGAGGAUGAUGUCAAGUCA